AGUGAACGCUGGCGGUAGGCCUAACACAUGCAAGUCGAACGGCAGCACAGUAAGAGCUUGCUCUUACGGGUGGCGAGUGGCGGACGGGUGAGGAAUACAUCGGAAUCUACUUUUUCGUGGGGGAUAACGUAGGGAAACUUACGCUAAUACCGCAUACGACCUACGGGUGAAAGCAGGGGAUCUUCGGACCUUGCGCGAUUGAAUGAGCCGAUGUCGGAUUAGCUAGUUGGCGGGGUAAAGGCCCACCAAGGCGACGAUCCGUAGCUGGUCUGAGAGGAUGAUCGGCCACACUGGAACGGAAACACGGUCCAGACUCCUGCGGGAGGCAGCAGUGGGGAAUAUUGGACAAUGGGCGCAAGCCUGAUCCAGCCAUACCGCGUGGGUGGAGAAGGCCUUCGGGUUGUAAAGCCCUUUUGUUGGGAAAGAAAAGCAGCAGGUUAAUACCCCGCUGUUCUGACGGUACCCAAAGAAUAAGCACCGGCUAACUUCGUG
rnacentral:rRNA from 1 species